UACGUAGGGAGCAAGCGUUGUCCGGAAUCAUUGGGCGUAAAGCGCGCGUAGGUGGCUUCAUAAGUCCGUUGUGAAAGUCAAAGGCUCAACCUUUGAAAGCCGAUGGAUACUGUGAAGCUAGAGUACGGAAGAGGCGAGUGGAAUUCCUGGUGUAGCGGUGGAAUGCGCAGAUAUCAGGAGGAACACCAAUAGCGAAGGCAGCUCGUUGGGACGUUACUGACACUGAGGCGCGAAAGCGUGGGGAGCGAACAGG
rnacentral:rRNA from 1 species